ACACGUAAUGCUUCAAAUAAUUUAAUUCGAAUGUUUGAUCUUUGCUCUGUUUUAGGGUAGAGUUUACCAAAAACCGUAAGAGCUUCCAAGUAUUAAGUAGCAAACUGAUAACAAAUUUCCAUGUUACAACAAAACGGGGGCAUCAAACAACUAAUAAAAGGGCAUCAAACAACUAACAAAAGGAAUAAGAACAUUAGAGAGAACGUCCACGUCAGCUUGGAAAAUCGUCUUUGCCACGUCAGAAAAAUACUCUCACCAAAACGCAACACCUGUCCGGUCUAUUACUGAACUCUGCGUUUAGUUAAAUCAAACUCUGUUUCUGGUAGGUCAUCCUUUUUUUUCAUCAAGCUUUUCGUCUUUCUUCGUUGAAGUCUCACGGACUCCUCCAUCUCGAGUGCUGCUUCUCACGCCGUCUAGGACCUGUCUCGAUGCCGCUGCAUCUCUGCCUCCCCUCUGGGCCUCCAACGACUCUGUGCUGCAUCUCCUCCUUUGUGAGCGGCUCUGUAUCUCCUCCUUUGACUCAUUAUACUAUGCGACUCCAGAUUUAUUUUUCUUCUCUAUCUGUCGCCGGCAAUGGUGGUUAAGCCUCUUGGAUCUGCUCUGCUCUAAGGUAUUUGCAGAUUUUCCGUCUCUUCGUUUCAUGAUUGAGAUUUUGAUUUUGAUUAUAAUUUUAAUUUACUUCUCUAUUGUCUUUUCGUGUUUGUUCAGAUUGAAUCUGAUUAUAUUUGAUUAUCAAUCUGUUAUAUUCGUGUGUGUUUGGGAAUCUGUUAGGUUCUGAUUUGAUUUAUCUGAUAUUCUUAUUGAGAGUUUGAAGAUAGGCAUGUUGUUCGAUUGUUGAUAAAUGACAUAACAGUAAAUCAGAUAUCAUAUUCAAGUUGAACCUACGUUGAUAGGCAUGUAGCCAUCACAAACAUCAUGAAGAAACCAGAUAGGCAAUAGGAUUUGAAAAUGAGAGCAGGAAUAGGCUAACAGUGGACUUAACUUGCUACUGACACUCCUCAAGGAAAAAAAUGUGUCACUGCAAGUUGCAACCAUCAAAAUUGAUAAGUUGCAUAACUUCAUCACUGUGAAUAGAUGUUGAGCAUUUAGUGUUCUGUUUUCUCUUGACAGUGACGUGUCUGUGACGUUGAGUCUGUUUGACUAGCAAGCUAUAUCUUUUCACAACAAGUCAGAAAGUCUUCGGUGAUCCUAAGGUUGUUAACAAGUAUCAACUCCAAGAUUGUAGGAGGUAUUUUUGUUUAAAUGGGAUGACUCUAAUAGUUCUUGGCCCUAAAGAAAUCAAUAUUUUGCAGGGCAUCUGUUCUUGAACGCCACAUCAGGGACCGAUAGAAUUUUUGACAAAGAGAUUAAUUUGAUCUCAGUUUGGUAGUUUACUUAUCCAUCACAUAAUUAGCGAAUUCCUGCACAACACUGUAGGCUGUUUUCCAUUGACAUUGGGAUUCCUCCAGCAUCUUCAUUACUGAGGGGCUACACUAAGCUUGAGCCUCUAACCAUAGCUGAAAUGAGUUCAUCAUCACUGCCCAGCCACAGGAUAUCGACUUCAUAUGCACCGGUAGGGGCACUGGGAUCAAGAUGGACAAAGGCUGGUGUUACGUCUCUUUCUCCAUGUGUACAAAGAAGCUUUAGCGGACUGUAUCAUCCUUCACUUGUGUCUUGUGUGGCCUGCAACAACACUAAUGUUGUUGGUGUGCUAAGAUGAGUAUUGCUGAUGAGACUGCUGAGGGCCUGUUUGUUGGCUUCGAUGGGGUAAUACUAAAUUGCAUCUCAUACGUGCAUAUGAACCUGGUCAUCUACUGGCUGGAGAGGGAGUUAACUCAGAAGAAGAAUCGGCUCGAGGGAGAGCCGAGCGUGAAGUUGCAUAGAGAGAAGUUGCUAGAGUGAGAAUGAGACAAGAGUAAGCACUUGCUCUUGGACUGUAUUUCCCGUGAUAAUGUAGAUUUUGGUAAGGUUCCUGAAUGGAUAAAGAAAAGCGAGGAGGUUUGAAAGCAAUACCAAGAUACAAACAUUGUAUGACUACGUUGAUACACUUGGAUGCUAGAAACAGAAGAGUAUAGCUUAAUCACAAACUUUCCAAGAACGGUGUAUGGAAGAGACAAAGAGUCAAUGUCACUGGAAGAUGCAGGUUUGCAUCCUCAGGCAAGUCUCUUCAUUGAGAUAAACUAAGUUUCAGAUUCUUCUGUUUCUUUCUCCUUAAGCCACUCUUUUUACAGUUUUGUUCAUCUCUUUUAAAAUAAUUAGUAGUGUUGCUUCAGUGAUCCGAUGAACAAGAUAACAUAUAUACACAUAUAUUCAGAAGUUGUGUCACAUAUUUGAUAUAUUUAGUUCUUAAAAUGAUGAGCUUUCGCAUUGUAUUUUUUUUU